UCCGCCAGUCACUCAGUACGAUACUCCAGAGGUCAAAUCAGGGUCAUUACAAGACCCUGAGAAAAUCAUCAUUUAUUGCCAUGGCAACUCGUUUCAUCGUGGUUUCAAGCAUCGAAGAGAUUUAUAUUCGGAGCUGCAGAAAUCAGGAUUCCACAUCAUAGCUUUUGACUACAGUGGGUUUGCGGACUCUACCGGUCAGCCGAGCCCAACAAGAGUCGUGGAGGAUGCAAUUAGCGUGUAUAAGUGGACGGUCAAGCAGCUCCAGAAAAAAGAUGUGACAAUCGUGCUUUGUUUUCACCCGGCACUUACAUCAGCACGAGGGCGCUAUCGCUCAUGUACGACCAGAAAGAUGGCACUCGACUCCCUGACUGUCUGAUACUUGAAGCUCCGUUCACGAAUACAUACGAUGCCGCGGACUGCUUUCCACUAUCUAAGAAUCGACAUUCAUCUCGGUGAGACUCUGUACAAAAAGACGACCUCUGACCCCAUGACAAAAUCUCCUCACAUUCGUUUCAUUCGAAUGCACGAGGAUUACGGAGUGAAGCACUACUCUGCUAAGCACCCUGAGAUAAGGCAGUUAGUGCAUGAUUUCAUGGUUGAAGUAGCAAAGGUCAAAAGUUAUCAGGAACAAGGAAGUAAAAAUAGAUUUGAAUUAAUAGAUAUUUAAUUUUUCAUUUUAUUUGUAUAAGUAGGCAAUAAAUAUAAAUGCUUUGGUCGAGUAGCAAAGAUCAAAGGUUACCAGGAAAUAUGAAGUAAAACUGAUUCAAGAUUUAUUUCUUUUAUUAACCUUUAUUUUGUUAACUAGACAAUUAGAGGCAAAUUGAACUUGCAUUUCUGGAAUUACGACAAGUGAUACAUGGGCUUGUUUUCGUUAAGUAAA